CCUACGGGAGGCAGCAGUGGGGAAUAUUGCGCAAUGGGGGAAACCCUGAUGCAGCAACGCCGCGUGAGUGAUGACGGCCUUCGGUUUGUAAAGCCCUGUCUUCAGGGACGAUAAUGACGGUACCUGAGGACGAAGCCACGGCUAACUACGUGCCAGCAGCCGCGGUAAUACGGAGGUGGCGAGCGUUGUCCGGAUUUACUGGGCGUAAAGGGAGCGUAGGCGGACUUUUAAGUGAGAUGUGAAAUACUCGGGCUCAACUUGAGUGCUGCAUUUCAAACUGGAAGUCUAGAGUGGAGGAGAGGAGAAUGGAAGUCCUAGUGUAGCGGUGAAAUGCGUAGAGAUUAGGAAGAACACCAGUGGCGAAGGCGAUUCUCUGGACUGUAACUGACGCUGAGGCUCGAAAGCGUGGGGAGCAAACAGGAUUAGAUACCCGAGUAGUC
rnacentral:rRNA from 1 species